UACGGAGGGUGCAAGCGUUAUUCGGAAUUACUGGGCGUAAAGCGUGCGCAGGCGGUUCGCUAAGACAGGUGUGAAAUCCCCGGGCUUAACCUGGGAAUGGCGCUUGUGACUGGCGGGCUGGAGUACGGCAGAGGGAGGUGGAAUUCCACGUGUAGCAGUGAAAUGCGUAGAUAUGUGGAGGAACACCGAUGGCGAAGGCAGCCUCCUGGGCCAGUACUGACGCUCAUGCACGAAAGCGUGGGGAGCAAACAGG
rnacentral:rRNA from 1 species